GCCUUGUGGCGCAACGGUAGCGCGUUCGACUCCAGAUCGGAAGGUUAUCCGUACGAUUGUCUCCACGCGCA